AUACGGAGGGUGCGAGCGUUAAUCGGAAUUACUGGGCGUAAAGCGUACGUAGGCGGUUCGUUAAGUUAGAUGUGAAAGCCCCGGGCUUAACCUGGGAACUGCAUUUAAAACUGGCGGACUAGAGUUGAGUAGAGGGGAGUGGAAUUUCAGGUGUAGCGGUGAAAUGCGUAGAGAUCUGAAGGAACACCAGUGGCGAAGGCGACUCCCUGGACUCGAACUGACGCUGAGGUACGAAAGCGUGGGUAGCAAACGGGAUUAGAAACCCUAGUAGUCC
rnacentral:rRNA from 1 species